CUAUGCGCCUUGCCAGCCCGCUCAGGUGUGCCAGCCGCCGCGGUAAUACGUAGGUGGCAAGCGUUAUCCGGAUUUAUUGGGCGUAAAGGGAACGCAGGCGGUCUUUAAGUCUGAUGUGAAAGCCUUCGGCUUAACCGGAGUAGUGCAUUGGAAACUGGGAGACUUGAGUGCAGAAGAGGAGAGUGGAACUCCAUGUGUAGCGGUGAAAUGCGUAGAUAUAUGGAAGAACACCAGUGGCGAAAGCGGCUCUCUGGUCUGUAACUGACGCUGAGUUCGAAAGCGUGGGUAGCAAACAGG
rnacentral:rRNA from 1 species